rnacentral:hammerhead_ribozyme from 1 species
AUCCUGCUGACGAGUCCCAAACAGAACGAAACGCGCGUCCUGGAU